rnacentral:rRNA from 1 species
AAUUGUGAUCUCAUGCAACCAGUGUUUAUUUAUAUAUUAAUCAAAAAAAAAGAACAACUUGCUUGUGUGCUUAUAUUAGGUUAUACUACGUAAGUAUUCAUGCAUGUAUAUCUUUUUUAGUGCGAAGCAGUAAUUUCUAAUAUUAAUAAAAAUAUACUUUUUGUGGACAUUGGGGGGUCGUGAAGACUCUAUCAGUGAGUAUUUGUUCUCGGAAGGACUAGAUAUGUAUAUUGAAUAAUCGGACAUAGUACGAUAAGGUUGUAUGUCUAAAGGGAAAUAGCCCAGAACAAGAGUUAAUAAGGUUCCAAAAUUUUUGUUAAGUGAAAUUAAGGCAGUAUUUAUCCCAAUCGGCCAGGGAAUAGGCUUAGAAGCGGCCAUUUUUUGAAGAUCUCGUAACAGAGCACUGGUUUUAUAUUUUAUGGAUAAAAGCACCGAAAAUUUAACGGAUCUAAACAAAAUACCGAUACCUUGUCCAUAUAUAUUAAUGUGUAUAUUAUGUAUUGUAUAUAUGGGGUAGCGGAACAUUGGGUGUGAAACAGCCAUUUUUAAUCCUUUAUAAGGAUUAAAUUGCCUAGAGUUUUUAUUAAUCUC